AGAGUUUGAUCCUGGCUCAGGAUAAACGCUGGCGGCGUGCUUUAAGCAUGUAAGUCGCACGGAUUGACGCAAGUUAGUCAGUGGCAGACGGCUGAGGAAGACGGAAGAAACCUGCCCAUCGGAGGGGGAUAACUCCGCGAAAGCGGGGCUAAGACCGCGUACGCUCGUGGGGGGAAGAGCCCGACGAGGAAAACGGGAACGUGCCGAUGGAGGGGCUUCCGGCCCAUCAGGUAGUUGGUGAGGUAACGGCCCACCAAGCCGAUGACGGGUCGCUGGUCUGAGAGGAUGACCAGCCAGACUGGGACUGAGACACGGCCCAGACUCCUACGGGAGGCAGCAGCUAGGAAUCUUGCACAAUGGGCGAAAGCCUGAUGCAGCGACGCCGCGUGGGGGACGAAGGUCUUCGGAUUGUAAACCCCUUUUGGGUGGGACGAGGAAGGACGGUACCACCUGAAUAAGCCCCGGCUAACUACGUGCCAGCAGCCGCGGUAAUACGUAGGGGGCGAGCGUUGUCCGGAUUUACUGGGCGUAAAGAGCGCGUAGGUGGUUGGGUAGGUUGGUGGUGAAAGGUUGGGGCUUAACCCCAAUAGGUCCACCAAGACCGCUCGACUGCGAGGGCAGUAGAGGAAGGUGGAAUUCCGGGUGUAGUGGUGAAAUGCGUAGAUAUCCGGAGGAACACCGGUGGCGAAGGCGGCCUUCUGGGCUGUCCCUGACACUGAGGCGCGAAAGCGUGGGGAGCGAACUGAAUUAGAUACUCAGGUAGUCCACGCCCUCAACGAUGGACACUAGGUGUGGGGGGUAUCGACCCCUCCCGUGCCGGAGCUAACGCAGUAAGUGUCCCGCCUGGGGAGUACGGCCGCAAGGCUAAAACUCAAAGGAAUUGACGG
rnacentral:rRNA from 1 species